rfam:Aedes aegypti strain Liverpool supercont1.670 genomic scaffold, whole genome shotgun sequence.
UGCCCAGCAACUCUCAUCCCUACCUCCUCGUGGUACUGGCCGGGGUACGAGUAACCUUAGGGAAGAUCGGGUAACCAACCCCGGUAGGAACUCUGGUUGUAUGCUGACAGGGAAGG